CCGUUUUCAAAGAUUCCCGUAUUGGGUGUUUACAUGGAAACUAUAACGGUGCCAUUUUCAAAAACUUGCACUUUGAAACUCGUUUUCAAAAAUAUGCGUUUUUGAGUCCCCAAAACGCUGUUGUCGUGUAAACAAACAGGCAAAAUGCAUGAAAAGUUUCCCAUCUUAGGCUGAAAAUGUUGUUGUGUAAAUGGCCCCUUAGCUUCCUUAAAAAUACCUUGUUUGUGUCAAGCAGCAGAAACAAAAAAAUAAACCAUGCACUGUUGUAUUUUUUAAUGGUGGUUAUUUAAAAUGAUUCUCUUAUUUGGAUUUGGUUUGUGUUAAGUUUGGACCUUGUGUGAUAUUUAUAACAUGCAUCAGUACAGUUUCAGUUGUUUGUGUCUAGACGUUGGGUGUAUACGAACUAAACCUUCUUAGAUCUUUCAAAUGUACAGCCGAGUACAGAGAAGUGCUGAUGCCACAUGUUCACAUAUAGAACAGGGGAUUCCGUUGCAUCAUGCGUUUAUCUCAGGCUGUAAGAAUCCCCUCAUUCCCACACUCGUGGGCCCCUCAACUCCCACCCAUAGGGGAACAGUGUGUCGCGAUGUGACUGUGUGAUAUGGUCGAAGGAGCCUUAAAUGCUCAGAGUAGAGCGUUUCUUUUUUGUGUGUGAGUGUGCACGCAUGUGUGUACAUGCACUUCCUUUUGAUCAACCUCCUCAGACUGUGCAGCCUCAUAAAAGGGCGCAAAGCCUCAGUUUAUGCACUUUUCUGCCCUGUUGUUUGUUUUUUUGUGCAUGCUGGUGUCAGGGAGAGAAAGAACGGCUAUUGAAUGGGCUUCUGCCAGCAGGAGAGAAAAUUACAAGGAAUGAAAAUUCUUCAAGUUUGGUCUUUAGAACAAUCAUACGAAAGUAAGAUUUUUUUUUAAUUCAAAAUAUUCUUCAUUCUAAAGUUAGAAAACAAACAAAAAUAGAGGUUUUUUUUCCGCCAUUCUUUUUUUAAAUGUUACUUUUAUGGGCUUUUUAUGCCUUUUAUUGAGAUAGGACAGUAGAGAGACAACAGGAAAGCACUGGGAGGAGAGAGGGGAGCGGGAUCGGCAAAGGACCUCGAAACGGGAAUCAAACUCGGGUCACCUUGAGUGCAGUAGCUCUGUAUGUCGACGUACUAACCCCGAGGCUAUUGGCACCAACUUUUUCCCCAUUCUCAAGGAUGUUUUGUGAAUCUGGCCUCAAAAUAUCAUAGAGGCUUUGGGCAGUUUUGAUUUGGGCCAGAAAGCAAACACCCAGAAAACCCUAGUAACCACCUUCAAACACCCUAGCAUUGUGACUGUGAUUUUUGCACAGGCAAAAGUCACUUGUAUUUUAUAAAAAAAUUGUAAAGUGUUUGUUUAUAUUUUUUUCACUACCCUGAAAAAAAAAAUUUAUCUUUUCUGUGUUUCUAUGAAUAACGUGUGUGUGAAUGCAUGCUGGUGAAAUGGUGGGCAUAAACAAUGUCUGGACAGUUUGGCCAGCUAGGUCACCGGAAAUGUGACGUAAACGCACACAUACGCAAUGGAGGCAAAGGGAAAACAAUCCCAAGAGCCCCUUCUUUUUCAUAUCCUGCUGCUCUGGCUGUUUGCCAACCAUUCCUCCCAUGUUGACUUCUUUAAUUUUUUUUAAAAAAUAAUUGAAUUGCUUGCAUGGUAUGCUGAUGAAUUAAUCAAAUUUAUCAUAAUUAAUUACAUAUAUCAAUACUGUAAUGUGAAAAAUCCCAGUUUUUUAUUUGAAUCCUAGACUUUAU
ensembl:lncRNA